UGGAGUUGUGCCAAGGGCCCUGCAGGUGAGGUGAUCACUCUCUGCGAUCAUGAGAACUUCAUGAAGGAUCCUCCCAAUAUCUGUCCCCCAAAACACUGAGAAUGGCUGUAAACCUCUGCAAACUCUUAACCCUUCUUAAGUUACAGAAUCUAGGAAGGAGAUCAGCAAUCAAGAGCAAAUAAACUUUAUCCCUUUAAUCAAGUCCUUCUAUCCACCUUUGUAUUACACAGAUGAUUGCGUAAUUCUAUCCUUUGCCUCACGAGGUAUUGUCUUGGCAAGCACCUACAGACAGCCAAAGCCAUAGCAACUUGGGUGCUUCCUGCUGCUGCUAAUGGGGAACAGGUAUCCUAUUGCUCUAGCCCAACUCACCCUGCCCCCUUCACCAGCUGUAUUUCUUCCUUCCUUUGUUGCUUUCAUCUUUAAUGGUGUUGCCACAGCAACCAUUGUCACCAGAAGAAGGAAGAUACUGUCACCCUCCCCGCUCCACCAGUGAGCUAGAACUAUCUUUGGGAAGGAUAAAUAUCCAGAUUUCACCAUACUCUUCAUCACACUGGGCUUUUUAAAGAAGGAUCACAGCCUACAAAGCAAACACUCAGCUGGAGGGCUUUGUGUGGGAGAAAAGCAUCACCAAGGACAACAGAAUGGAUCCUCUUCCUCCCAGACUCUAAUCCUCACUUGGAAGUCAAGCAGCCAGGUGAAGGACUAAAUAUCUAGAGUCUGCCUGAUCAUCCAGUGCACCAACUUUACUUUAAUACCAGCUUUCCUGCCCUGAGUCCUCCGAAUCAGAGUUGAGAGAACUGCUGCCAUAGUUUAGAAAUAAAAAUUCUCUUUCUGA